rnacentral:rRNA from 1 species
AGCGAACGCUGGCGGCAGACCUAACACAUGCAAGUCGAACGGAUCCUUCGGGAUUAGUGGCGGACGGGUGAGUAACACGUGGGAACGUGCCCUUUGGUUCGGAACAACUCAGGGAAACUUGAGCUAAUACCGGAUGUGCCCUUCGGGGGAAAGAGUUAUCGCCAUUGGAGCGGCCCGCGUCUUCUUAGCAAGUUGGUGAGGUAAAGGCUCACCAAGGCGACGAACAGUAGCUGGUCUGAGACGAUGAUCAGCCACAUUGGGGCUGAGACACGGCCCCAACUCCUACGGGAGGCAACAGUGGCGAAUCUUGCGCAAUGGGCGGAAGCCUGCCGCAGCCAUGCCGCGUGAAUGAUGACGGUCUUAUGAUUGUAAAAUUCUUUCACCGGGGACGCUAAUGACGGUACCCGGAGAAGAAGCCCCGGCUAACUUCGUGCCAGCCGCCGCCGUAAAAC